CUUUUUGCCUUUUCUAGGGCCGCUCCUGUGGCAUGUGGAGAUUCCCAGGCUAGGGGUCUAAUUGGAGCUGUAGCUGCGGGCCUACACUAGAGCCACAGCAAUGUGGGAUCCGAGCCGUGUCUUCGACCUACACCACAGCUCAUGGCAAUGCCGGAUCCUUAACCCACUGAGCGAGGUCAGGGAUGGAACCCGCCACCUCAUGGUUCCUAGCUGGAUUCAUUCACCACAGAGCCACGACAGAAACUCCUAAUUUUUUUUUUUUUUUAAACCAACAAAGUCCUCCUUCUAAGCCAUGGCGAUCAACCUUGACCAUGUACUUGAAUCUCCUUGAAGUGCUUUUUCAUGCAGAUACUCUUUGCAGCAACAUGGAUGGACCGGGAGGGGUAUCAUGCAAAGUGAAGUCAGAGAAAGACAGAUACUUAUGACAUCAGUUAUAUGUGGAAUCUAAAAGAAUACAACAAACUAAGUAUAAGAAGAACAAAGCAGACUCACAGAUCUAGAGAACAAGCCAGUGGUAACCAGCGGGGGGAGGGGCAGGGGAGGGGAGGGGAACACCUGCAACGGACAUAAACUGUGCAGCAACUAGACUUCAACACACAAAAUAGGUUUUAAACGAAAAAGAGUAGUGAAACCACUCACUGCUGAGUUCACGCCCUCGUGCCCACCUGUCCCACCCCGAGUCCCUGACUGAGGCGGGGGCAUCUCGAGUGGGGCUGAGAAUGUGCACUUCCAAGAGGCUCCUGGGAGGAGGUGAGGCAGCUGGGCUGGAACCACACAGUGGGCGCCAGGAGGCUCCCAGGCAGGAUGGCGUCCCCGGUCGUGCAUCCUGCUGUCUGUUCUCUCUGGUUUCAACCGCCUGGUUUCUGCAGCAUCCCCUCUGCCAGCAUCAGCCUAGGGAGCUAACCGUCUCCACGUGGUCCUAGCGGGUACCCGUACACCUGCCCCCUCAACCUUAGGCUGCAUGACCGCUGUCCCACCCACGGGGAAGGCGGGCUUGGGGCUGCGGAAGAACAGAGCUCCGCACAGAGCUUACCUACCAAAGGCCGCCGGCUCAGUCCUUUCUGCCUCCGCUUCUUCUCUUCGUUCCCGCCAUACUCUCAGACCAAAGGUAUAAAAGUCAAAGGGUGUCCUUUUAGAAUCGGGCUCCUGACCAACGCCAGCUUCCUCUCUUCUUCCCACGGCUUCCCAGCGCGCCGAGGGCUCCCAGGCGGCCCACGAGGCGCGCGGCAGGGCUCAGCGACGUGGAACGCGGCACGGUCAGCUCUUCCUCGUGCAUCCAGGACCACGUCCCCACGGCUCUUACACUGCCCUCAGCCAGCGUCCCUCUGCCCUGGCCGGGGGCAGGAGCAGCGUUUGAAGACGGAUCCAGAUUCCCCGCUUUUCCUGAUUGGCAGGUGGCGUUCCCCAGAGGUAUUAGCGCGCCUAAUGGAU
rnacentral:lncRNA from 1 species